rnacentral:misc_RNA from 1 species
GUGAACGCCCUCACGGGCUUAUACUAUUCCAAACCUCUGUGAACCGUGCCCUUCGGGGCUAUUUUACAAACAUGGUGUAAUGAACGUCAUAUACCAUAACAAAACA